GCAUUGGUGGUGUAACGGUUAGCAUGGUUGCCUUCCAAGCAGUCGAUCCGGUUUCAACUCCCGGCCAAUGCA
rnacentral:tRNA from 1 species